rnacentral:rRNA from 1 species
UGGGGAAUAUUGGACAAUGGGCGAAAGCCUGAUCCAGCAAUGCCGCGUGUGUGAUGAAGGCCUGCGGGUUGUAAAGCACUUUCGGUGGGGAAGAAAUACGCAAAGUUAAUACCUUUGCGGGUUGACGUUACCCACAGAAGAAGCACCGGCUAACUCUGUGCCAGCAGCCGCGGUAAUACAGAGGGUGCAAGCGUUAAUCGGAGUUACUGGGCGUAAAGGGCGCGUAGGCGGAUAUCUAAGUCGGUUGUGAAAUACCUGGGCUUAACCUGGGAAUUACAAUCGAUACUGGGUAUCUAGAGUAUGGGAGAGGAAAGUGGAAUUCCCGGUGUAGCGGUAAAAUGCGUAGAUAUCGGGAAGAACACCAGCGCGAAGGCGACUUUCUGGACCAAUACUGACGCUGAGGCGCGAAAGCAUGGGGAGCAAACA